AGCACUUCUGCGCUUCCAUCGUCGACUGUGAGGGGGAUGUUGAAAAGGAAUCCGAUGGAGAGGAUGUGCAUACUUUCCCUAUUGGUUGCGUUUUUCCUUAGUUUGCAAUUGGUUGUUUACUACAAAGACUUUUGCUACAUGUGGAUUUCUCUAGCCCACCAUCUUGUUGCUAAAAGUUGUUUAUACAAAGUAGGAGAGGAUGUGAUAUGAUAAUGAGGAUGCGUCAGCUUUAAAAAAUGAAGAUUUUGUUCCUAGAGCAUCACUUGGAAGCAAUAUGGCCAACGAUGGUGUUUUCUCGAGUUUUGAAGAUGAUGAUGAUAGUGUGUUCACGUCGAGCCCUGUGUUUUACUUCGAAGACGCGCCUGAGUCGCCACCACCAAGCUAUGAAUCAGUUUGUGUGGUAUCAAAUGAAAAUGAUCACAGGGUACCACCACCAGACAAUGAUCAUCGGGUACCACCUCCUGACAAUACUAACUGGAUACCACCUCCUGACA